UACGGGGGGAGCAAGCGUUGUUCGGAUUUACUGGGCGUAAAGGGCGGGUAGGCGGCCACCGCAAGUCGACUGUGAAAUCUCCGGGCUUAACUCGGAACGGUCAAGUGAUACUGUCGGACUAGAGUACAGAAGGGGCAACUGGAAUUCUCGGUGUAGCGGUGAAAUGCGUAGAUAUCGAGAGGAACACCUGCGGCGAAGGCGGGUUGCUGGGCUGAUACUGACGCUGAGGCGCGAAAGCCAGGGGAGCGAACGGG
rnacentral:rRNA from 1 species